rnacentral:lncRNA from 1 species
GAGGGGGAGGAAGUCAGAUCUGAGAGGUUGGGGACAAAUAUAUAUACAGAGAAAAGAUGGGGAAAGAAUCUGAGCACGUGUCCGGGGGUCGGGGUUGACGGGUGGGCACGUACGGUUAAAGAAUCGGAUAGAUAGACCGGAAUAGCCUUGUAUCUAUAAGAUGAAAACAGUGACGAAGAGGGGUAUUUUCGCCAAUGGGAUAAGGGACA